rnacentral:lncRNA from 1 species
CUUCUUCUUUCACCCAUCAAGGAAUGGUGGUUUUACGUCAUUUUUUAAAUAAGAAUCACCCUUUUGCAUUUUUUUUCCCCUUUCUUUCGUUCUAAAUAUGUGAUUUUCACACAUAUAAGGAUUUUUCUUUUGUGUUUUUUUUCUUUUGAUUUCGUCAUCUUAGUGCGGUAUUGUGUUGUUCGUCGUCUUGAGCUGCGUUAUUUGAUUCCAAUCUAGUUGUGGUCUUCAUUUAGUUCAUAUUGAAAAAUUAUCUUCAGUCAAUCACAGAUUCAAUCAAUGAUUUGAACGUGAACGUUGCAGAUCUGGAAGCAUGAGUAUUAUUGUAAUUUAGAUUUUAUCUAUCAAUUUGAAUGAAUGAAUGUCGUUUUGUUUUUGUCAAAAAAUACAAUUGAGGCAACCGUUGAUUUAUACAUGAAUUAAAAAAUUCGUAAAUUAUUUC